rnacentral:tRNA from 1 species
UAGCUCAGCUGGGAGAGCGCCUGCUUUGCACGCAGGAGGUCAGCGGUUCGAUCCCGCUAGGCUCCA